GACGAACGCUGGCGGCGUGCCUAAUACAUGCAAGUAGAACGCUGAAGGAGGAGCUUGCUUCUCUGGAUGAGUUGCGAACGGGUGAGUAACGCGUAGGUAACCUGCCUGGUAGCGGGGGAUAACUAUUGGAAACGAUAGCUAAUACCGCAUAAUAGCAGUUAUUGCAUGAUAACUGUUUGAAAGGUGCAAUUGCACCACUACCAGAUGGACCUGCGUUGUAUUAGCUAGUUGGUGGGGUAACGGCUCACCAAGGCGACGAUACAUAGCCGACCUGAGAGGGGGAUCGGCCACACUGGGACUGAGACACGGCCCAGACUCCUACGGGAGGCAGCAGUAGGGAAUCUUCGGCAAUGGACGGAUGUCUGACCGAGCAACGCCGCGUGAGUGAAGAAGGUUUUCGGAUCGUAAAGCUCUGUUGUAAGAGAAGAACGAGUGUGAGAGUGGAAAGUUCACACUGUGACGGUAUCUUACCAGAAAGGGACGGCUAACUACGUG
rnacentral:rRNA from 1 species